rnacentral:lncRNA from 1 species
CGGUGGGGAAAGUGGAGUGGGGAUGGUCUCGCGGUAGCGGUGGGGAAAGUGGAGUGGGGAUGGUCUCGCGGCAGCCGCGCGACGCACACAAGCGAAGCCUCGUACCCUCGUGUCCGUGAGGCGCUCACUACGUCACAAAGGCGGAUAGUUGGAAAGAGACGAAAAGUAGCUGCGAGCCCAACAUGGCGACCAGGCUGACCCAUGGACCAAAUGAACCAGGGGGACCAAGGUUGGGUCAUUAGGUUGUUAGAGCAGGUUAAGGCAAAGAUAGGAGAAAUGGGCCUAAGGCGGAUAGUUAGAAAGAGACGAAAAGUAGCUGCGGGCCCAACAUGGCGACCAGGCUGACCCAUGGACCAGGGGGACCAAGUCCACAGAAGUUCAGACAUCGUGACUCACGGAAAGUUCGAGUUGGUACUUGAUGGAAAAUUCGACUAAGUACGUAACACAGAGAUUUCACUUAUUAACUUGACGCUGUGGAAAAUUCUUGAUGGAAAAUUCGACUAAGUACGUAGCACAGAGAUUUCACUUACUAACUUGACGCUGUGGCCCACUGAGUAAAAGUGAGCUUUAGCAGUGAGUAGUUAGUGACCCUCCAAUCUCUAGUGGUAGCUAUGGUGGGAUGGAGGAUGGAGUGGGGAUGGACACGUCACGUGACCAUCCCCACCACAGGUACCGAGGUACCCCAAUACUAGAGAUCCUAUAACAGAGAUCGGACACCGGGUGAACGAUUCCUGAUUGGCUCGCGCGCGUGGAGUAUAACCG